GAGUUAUACAACUCAUCAACCCUGUGAACAUACCUAAAACGUUGCUUCGGCGGGAACAGACGGCCCUGUAACAACGGGCCGCCCCCGCCAGAGGACCCCUAACUCUGUUUUUAUAAUGUUUUUCUGAGUAAACAAGCAAAUAAAUUAAAACUUUCAACAACGGAUCUCUUGGCUCUGGCAUCGAUGAAGAACGCAGCGAAAUGCGAUAAGUAAUGUGAAUUGCAGAAUUCAGUGAAUCAUCGAAUCUUUGAACGCACAUUGCGCCCGCCAGUAUUCUGGCGGGCAUGCCUGUUCGAGCGUCAUUACAACCCUCAGGCCCCCGGGCCUGGCGUUGGGGAUCGGCGGAAGCCCCCUGUGGGCACACGCCGUCCCUCAAAUACAGUGGCGGUCCCGCCGCAGCUUCCAUUGCGUAGUAGCUAACACCUCGCAACUGGAGAGCGGCGCGGCCAUGCCGUAAAACACCCAACUUCUGAAUGUUGACCUCGAAUCAGGUAGGAAUACCCGCUGAACUUAAG
rnacentral:rRNA from 1 species